rnacentral:misc_RNA from 1 species
GAAAUGCGAUACGCAGUGCGAAUUGCAGAACGCGAGUCAUCAGAUCUUUGAACGCAAGUGGCGCCGGUUAGCAGCCGGCAUGUGGGGCUCAGUGUGUAUGGAAAUCACAAACGCGAAAUGUGGUUGAAGUGUAGCCUCUCGGGGCGAGCUUCUCCCAUUAAACGCAGCGGGAGCGACGCGCUAAUACCUCCAGGUAGGCCGUCUUUGUCACAAUUCCUCUCUCCCUCUCCGGAAGUAGUCACUAGCAUCCUAGUGAUCUACGGAAAGGUGGGUUGAGUACCGUGGCAUCACAAAAGGGACGCCUAUUCUGUUUAGUGCACUCAAUCGCUUAUCGAUAAACCCCCAAUUGAUUAUCUCCUCACACGACACCUGAGUUCCGCAAGACAACCCGCUGAACUUA